UAAAAUAAUAGCCGCACACCACGCACUUCUCCAUGCCUCUUCUUCAUCUCCGACGGCCGGAAGUUCCGGUGCCCCUUUCACCAACCGUAGCACACCCUCAUACAUUUACAACCCUCCUUCAUUCUAUUUGAUCAAGCCCUCACAAGACCCCAUCUCCCCUUAUCUUGUUCCCACACGCACACCCCUGCACAGUAGAGAUAGAGAGAGAGAGAGAGAGCAAAGAUAGAACCGGCGACGACCGGAGACGCCGCUCAUGUCCGCAGUGACGGCGUUUUCUCCUUCUCCGAUGGUGAUAAAGCUGUGAAGACGCUGAUUCAGCAACAGAUUUUGAGCGGGUUCGAGCUCGGUUCGGACUUGGGUUCGAAUCACGGAUGUUUCGGGUUUGUUCCGGGUCUCGGUUCAGAAAAGGAAGUAGCAGGUAAUUAUUGAAGGAACUUGGGAGCUUGCUGUCUGAUGCUGCUGGAGUGGUUGUGGUCAUAAUAAACAGUUAUUUUGAUUUGGUUUUGAUACAUUUACACACUUAUACAUUUAUGCUUCCGCUCAGUACUUUGGUUUUGGUUUAACUUUCAAACGAUACAUUUCUUUCAAUUGGGUGUUUUAUUACUUUAUGACUUGUGUUUGAUAUGAUUAGUGGCUCUUUGUU
rnacentral:lncRNA from 1 species